AACGAACGCUGGCGGCAUGCUUAACACAUGCAAGUCGAACGAGACCUUCGGGUUUAGUGGCGCACGUGUGCGUAACGCGUGGUAACCUGCCCUUAGGUUCCGAAUAACUCCCCGAAAGGGGUGCUAAUACCGGUUAAUGUCUUCGCACCAAAGAUUUAUCGCCUUUGGAUGGGCCCGCGUUGGAUUGGCUAGUUGGUAGGGUAAAAGCCUACCAAGGCGACGAUCCAUAGCUGGUCUGAGAGGAUGAUCAGCCACACUGGGACUGAGACACGGCCCAGACUCGGACGGGAGGCAGCAGUGGGGAAUAUUGGACGAGGGGCGAAAGCCUGAUCAAGCAAUGCCGGGUGAGAGAUGAAGGCCUUAGGGUUGUAAAGCUGUUUUACCCGGGAUGAUAAUGACAGUACCGGGAGAAUAAGCACCGGCUAACUACGUG
rnacentral:rRNA from 1 species